CCUACGGGCGGCAGCAGUAGGGAAUUUUGCGCAAUGGGCGAAAGCCUGACGCAGCAACGCCGCGUGAUCGAGACGCCCUUCGGGGUGUAAAGAUCUGUCAGUGGGGACGAAACUUGACGGUACCCACAGAGGAAGCACCGGCUAACUACGUGCCAGCAGCCGCGGUAAUACGUGGGUGGCAAGCGUUAUCCGGAUUUACUGGGUGUAAAGGGCGUGUAGGCGGGGACGCAAGUCAGAUGUGAAAACCACGGGCUCAACCUGUGGCCUGCAUUUGAAACUGUGUUUCUUGAGUACUGGAGAGGCAGACGGAAUUCCUAGUGUAGCGGUGAAAUGCGUAGAUAUUAGGAGGAACACCAGUGGCGAAGGCGGUCUGCUGGACAGCAACUGACGCUGAGGCGCGAAAGCGUGGGGAGCAAACAGGAUUAGAUACCCGUGUAGUC
rnacentral:rRNA from 1 species